AUGGAGGGGAUGGAGGAUGGAGUCGAGGGUUAUAUUAAAAUAAGAAGGCAACUCUGGGCAAUCUUCCAUCGUCAGGUGGGGUCCACAUGCCCACAACCCACAAACUUGGGUGGCCACGACGCCAUGUGGCAAACCUGGAGAGGUGACUCCAAGAUGCUUCACUCUGUGCUCUGCACCAGGCGGCCUCCCCCGCCAGCUGGGAGUGCAGGUGCUCCGGGCCAACCGCCCUGGGCGCCCCGCCAUUCCAGCCUGUCCCGCGGAGCCGCCCGGCCACUCACGUCCUCCCCCUGGAGCCCAGCACCCCGGGGAUCGGGGAGGAGCUGCCCUGAGUGCCCCAAGCUCCUGACCCACAGGACGCUGUUGCUGGACAGCACGGAGCGGGUGGUUUGUCGGACACCGGUUGUCUCUGGAGACAACGGAGCAGACGAGGGAGAAGCGAAGGGUGGCGCUGGCAGCUGGGCAGGGGGCGUGCUGGGGGGACCGAGGGGACUAGCAGGGGUUGGUGCGGACCAGGGAAGAACCGGCAGGAAGUGGGACAACGCCCGGGCGAGAGGCACAGAACCGUCAGGCCGCGCUCCGUGGGGUGGAGGCGGCCGGCUGGGCCCCUCCUACGGCCGGGACAGCCUCGGCCCCCGGGGGUCCAGCCCUGAGGCUGAGAUCCCUCAGCGACUCCCACCCCGUGCUUGGGGCCCCCCAGCCUCUGUCGCCGGCCCUGUCCCCCGCAUUCCCCGCCCCAAGCGCCCGGCUCCCCUUCUCUCCCUCCUCCGUGUCCUCCGCUCCGGUCCGGGUCACGCUGUUUCCAGGCUGCCCCGACUCCCGGCCGGGCCGUCCCCCUCCCCCGCAGCCCCCGCGGUCCCCAAACCCCCGCGCCUCCCAGCCCUCCGGCGCAGCUCCGCGGCCCAGGUGGAUGCGCGCGCCCCGCACCAUGCACCCGGCCCGCACCCCGCGCCCCGCCCCGCGCGCCGCCAUUGGCUCCCCGCGGCCUGGCUCGGGCCGAUUGGCUCCGCGCGCUGCCGGGGCCCGAUUCGCGGUGGGCAGCUCCGCGGCGCGGAUGCUGCUCGGUCCCGCCGCCGCCCCAGGAGCGCGGAGCCGGGAGCGGCCGGGCGGGGCCGGGCGGGGGGCACCGCGAGGAGCCGCCCCCGCCGCCCACCCCGGGCCCGCGGCCGAGGGCAGCCUGGGGGUCGCGGCCGCACCGGGCUGCCGCGGGCGGCGGACAAAGGACCAUGCGGGGCCGCGGGCGCUGAGCGCGGCGGGGCGGGCCGGGGAUGCGGCGCGGGGCGGGCGGGGGCCGGGGGCUGCGGCGGCGCCGCUGAGCUGGGCCGG
rnacentral:lncRNA from 13 species